rnacentral:rRNA from 1 species
CCACACUGGGACUGAGACACGGCCCAGACUCCUACGGGAGGCAGCAGUGAGGAAUAUUGGACAAUGGGCGAGAGCCUGAUCCAGCCAUGCCGCGUGCAGGAAGACGGCCCUAUGGGUUGUAAACUGCUUUUACAGAGGAAGAACCCUCCUUACGUGUAAGGAGCUGACGGUACUCUAUGAAUAAGGAUCGGCUAACUCCGUGCCAGCAGCCGCGGUAAUACGGAGGAUCCAAGCGUUAUCCGGAAUCAUUGGGUUUAAAGGGUCCGUAGGCGGGUUUAUAAGUCAGUGGUGAAAGUCUGCAGCUUAACUGUAGAACUGCCAUUGAUACUGUAGAUCUUGAAUUAGUAUGAAGUGGUUAGAAUGUGUAGUGUAGCGGUGAAAUGCAUAGAUAUUACACAGAAUACCGAUUGCGAAGGCAGAUCACUAAUACUAUAUUGACGCUGAUGGACGAAAGCGUAGGUAGCGAACAGGAUUAGAUACCCUGGUAGUCUACGCCGUAAACGAUGGUUACUAGCUGUCCGGCCUAAUUGAGGGCUGGGUGGUUAAGCGAAAGUGAUAAGUAACCCACCUGGGGAGUACGUUCGCAAGAAUGAAACUCAAAGGAAUUGACGGGGGCCCGCACAAGCGGUGGAGCAUGUGGUUUAAUUCGAUGAUACGCGAGGAACCUUACCAGGGCUUAAAUGCAGUCUGACGUACUUGGAAACAGGUAUUUCUUCGGACAGAUUGCAAGGUGCUGCAUGGUUGUCGUCAGCUCGUGCCGUGAGGUGUCAGGUUAAGUCCUAUAACGAGCGCAACCCCUGUGGUUAGUUGCCAGCACGUAAUGGUGGGAACUCUAGCCAGACUGCCGGUGCAAACCGUGAGGAAGGUGGGGAUGACGUCAAAUCAUCACGGCCCUUACGUCCUGGGCCACACACGUGCUACAAUGGUAGGGACAGAGAGCAGCCACUUCGCGAGAAGGAGCGAAUCUAUAAACCCUAUCACAGUUCGGAUCGUAGUCUGCAACUCGACUACGUGAAGCUGGAAUCGCUAGUAAUCGCAUAUCAGCCAUGAUGCGGUGAAUACGUUCCCGGGCCUUGUACACACCGCCCGUCAAGCGAUGGAAGUCAGGAGUACCUGAUGUCGCCCCAGCAAGGGGUGCCUAGGGUAAGCCUGGUAACUGGCGCUAAGUCGGAACAAGGUAGCCGUACCGGAAGGUGCGGCUGGAACACC